rnacentral:rRNA from 1 species
AACAGGAUUAGAUACCCUGGUAGUCCACGCCCUAAACGAUGUCUACUAGUUGUCGGGUUUUAAUUAACUUGGUAACGCAGCUAACGCGUGAAGUAGACCGCCUGGGGAGUACGGUCGCAAGAUUAAAACUCAAAGGAAUUGACGGGGACCCGCACAAGCGGUGGAUGAUGUGGAUUAAUUCGAUGCAACGCGAAAAACCUUACCUACCCUUGACAUGGAAGGAAUCCUGGAGAGAUCUGGGAGUGCCCGAAAGGGAACCUUCACACAGGUGCUGCAUGGCUGUCGUCAGCUCGUGUCGUGAGAUGUUGGGUUAAGUCCCGCAACGAGCGCAACCCUUGUCAUUAGUUGCUACGCAAGAGCACUCUAAUGAGACUGCCGGUGACAAACCGGAGGAAGGUGGGGAUGACGUCAAGUCCUCAUGGCCCUUAUGGGUAGGGCUUCACACGUCAUACAAUGGUACAUACAGAGGGCCGCCAACCCGCGAGGGGGAGCUAAUCCCAGAAAGUGUAUCGUAGUCCGGAUUGUAGUCUGCAACUCGACUACAUGAAGUUGGAAUCGCUAGUAAUCGCGGAUCAGCAUGUCGCGGUGAAUACGUUCCCGGGUCUUGUACACACCGCCCGUCACACCAUGGGAGCGGGUUUUACCAGAAGUAGGUAGCUUAACCGCAAGGAGGGCGCUUACCACGGUAGGAUUCGUGACUGGGGUGAAGUCGUAACAAGGUAACC